UUAUUACGACACUACAUUCUAACGUGCUUCUGCUUCAAUUUAUAGUCGCUCUUCCUUCUAAGUAAAUAUUUAUCAAGCGGAUAAGCGUCUUACAAUUGAACAAAUUACGCCUCACAAAGAAAUAAGUCAGAUUAAAAUCACCACGGGAUGUCUGAAGAAGCAUGUGCUAACGAACAAAAUGGCUCGACGGCCGGUCCAAGCAGUUCACAGAAAUUAAAUCUACAUGGCUUUCCAAAAGUCAGAGUUAUGUUACAAGAAUAAAGGAGGUUACGACGCAACAGAUUGGCAUUAACUGAGAUAAACGUGGUUUGGUACUCGUUUAAUUAUCUGGGCGGCAGCUUUGACCAGAUUGUGAAUGUAGACAAAGAAGUGCUUUCCUUUUAAAG